GAUGCCUUUGUCCUCAGUGUUAG
rnacentral:miRNA from 1 species